GACGAACGCUGGCGGCGUGCCUAAUACAUGCAAGUAGAACGCUGAAGGAGGAGCUUGCUUCUCUGGAUGAGUUGCGAACGGGUGAGUAACGCGUAGGUAACCUGCCUCGUAGCGGGGGAUAACUAUUGGAAACGAUAGCUAAUACCGCAUAAGAGUAGAUGUUGCAUGACAUUUGCUUAAAAGGUGCAAUUGCAUCACUACCAGAUGGUCCUGCGUUGUAUUAGCUAGUUGGUGGGGUAACGGCUUACCAAGGCGACGAUACAUAGCCGACCUGAGAGGGUGGUCGGCCACACUGGGACUGAGACACGGCCCAGACUUCUAAGGGAGGCAGCAGGAGGGAAACUUCGGGAAAGGGCGGAAGGCUGAACGAGGAACGCCGCGGGAGGGAAGAAGGGUUUCGGAUCGGAAAGCUCUGUUGUAAGAGAAGAACGAGUGUGGGAGUGGAAAGUGCACACUGUGACGGUAUCUUACCAGAAAGGGACGGCUAACUACGUG
rnacentral:rRNA from 1 species